UUCCAAGCCGUGCGCCUUCAUCAACCAGGGGGGCCCGCGAGCCUACUGCCCCCCUGUCACGGGCACAGAUCUAUCCAGAUAACUCCGUGACAAGAGGGUAUCCCGAACAAGCUGUUCCAUCACCUUCCGAGGGAUGGAGAUGUCGUGCAGACUGGAGGAGAGGCCCAAAGAAGCGCCCAGAGACAGACAUGCUGAAACCUGAGAGUUCCUUCAGUCUGUGUUUGUUUUGUUUGACCUACUGGCCAAUUGUCAGAUGGGUCCUCAGAGUCCACAAGAAUGUGUCAUCUCUCAAGUGAAAGACAGUUUGUUGAUAGUCCAUGGGAACAGGUACUUCAGAGAGUCUUCAAAGGAUCUUUGCCAUCACUAUGGUAAUACCAGUUUCAAGCUGGCUGGUUAAAAUUACUGUGAGUAAUUGCACACUAUGAAAGUCAUUUAAUCACUGAGCUGCAGACGCAC
ensembl:lncRNA